UUUCUGCAGGGCUCAGAAGAAGAGGCCAGCCCGCGGGGGUUCGCUUGCACGGACAUAGGUGUUAACCUCCCAAGAGCGGGCUGCGAGCACAAAAGGGAGAAGCCACCUCCGCGAUGGGCGCCCAGCCAUCCGCAGCCCUCCCCACCGCGCCGGCACACGGGCUCCCGCUUUGCUCCUCCGCUGCCGGCACACGCGCGGGGGCCGUGCCCCGCCGCGACACCGCGCCCGGCUCGCCACGGCCCCCCCGCGAGCCCGCCGCGACGAGGGACGAGCCCCGCGGAGAGCGGCCGCCGCACGCCGGGGCUGCGGGCUCCCCCCGCGCCACCGCUCGUUGCUCACCUUGAAGAGGAAACAGCCGCCGGCACCCGGCCCCGCCGCGGGAAGCCUCCCCCCUCCCUCCCGCGCGCGCCCCGCCGGCGAGCGCCAACGGUCACAACCGCUGCCCGCGCAGCCCGCAAAUUUGCGGGCAGCCCCAGUGCGCGGCGCGGCGCGGCGCGGCGCGGCGCGNNNNNNNNNNNNNNNNNNNNGGCGCGGCGCGGCGCGGCGCGAGGAGAGGAGAGGAGAGGAGAGGAGAGGAGAGGAGAGGAGAGGAGAGGAGAGGGCAGUCGGGGCGCCCCCCGCGGGGCAGGCGCUGCCCAGAAGGCUGCCGGGCGCGGGGGGGCGGGAGCCCCGGCGGGAGUUUCGCGGCGGCCCGGCCCCGCCUCGCGGCUCCCCUUUUGUCCCGGCCACGCCGCCGCCCCGUCCCUCUGCCCCACGGCGGCACGCGCUCCGCCGCGCCGUCCCGGCCAGCUCCGCCGCCGCUCCCGCCGGCGAGCGGGGCAAGGGCAAGCGCCCUCUCCGCGAGAGGGAGGGGAAGAGGGCCCCGCGCGGCGUUACCUGCAACGAGAAGGCGCCCAAGCGGCAUCGCCCACCCAGGUACGAAACUCUGCCCGUCCGGCGAGCCCCGAGCCGGAGCGGCCGGCGGGGGAGGGGCCGCCGCCGCUUCGGCUCCGCGAAACAUCCUCAGCGCCCAUUGGCUCCGCCGCCGCCCCACCCCUCCUUGACCCCGCCCCUCCGGGGCAGCUCGGUGCGCCCAUUGGCGGCGGCGGCUGUGACGCGCGGCAGGCCGGGCCGAGGAAGCGGGGCGAGGAGCUCGGUCGCGGCAGCAGCCGGGGGGAGCGGGGCCGGCCAGGGUCGCGCCCCCCAACUCCACACCCCUCCGCCUCGCACAAAGGCGGGAGCGGGGCGGUGCCUCCUUCACAAAGCAGCCCCCCUUCCUUCUCUCCUCCCCUCCGCCCGGGCUGCCCCUUUGUGGCGGCUGCUUUCCCCGCUCACCUGGGUCCCCGCGGCGGCAGCUGGAGCGCGCCCCCGGGCUUGUCCUGCCCUCGCGCCCCCGGGCGCGCGCGCCGCGACCGUUGCCGCGACCGUUAG
rnacentral:lncRNA from 1 species